rnacentral:rRNA from 1 species
UACGGAGGGUGCAAGCAUUGAUCGGAAUUACUGGGCGUAAAGGGCGCGUAGGCGGCAAUGAAAGUCAGAUGUGAAAUUCCAGGGCUCAACCCUGGAGCUGCAUUUGAAACUUCAUAGCUAGAGUUCAGUUAGGGUAAACGGAAUUCCACGUGUAGCGGUGAAAUGCGUAGAUAUGUGGAAGAACACCGGUGGUGAAAACGGUUUACUAGGCUGAUACUGACGCUGAGGCGCGAAAGCAUGGGGAGCAAACAGG